rnacentral:lncRNA from 12 species
AAGCAAUACUCUUGCCCUGGAUGGAGCCCAGCAACACUAUUCUUCAGAGAAAGGAAUUUCCACUUCUAGAAAAUUAACACCAUUUUAAUUCCAGGGCCACAGUUUCAAAAGGACUUAAAACACAUAGCAACAACACAUUCCAACACUUCCCUCUGAUUAUGGGAAAGCACCCUGCCCUCCAAACCUAGGGAGCACUGUGUGAGAUCCUGAUGGGCAAAAAUAAACAGAGGGAAAAUGAGGAAUCUAGUCUCAUGC